rnacentral:rRNA from 1 species
CCCGCUGAACUUAAGCAUAUCAAUAAGCGGAGGAAAAGAAACUAACAAGGAUUCCCCUAGUAACUGCGAGUGAAGCGGGAAAAGCUCAAAUUUAAAAUCUGGUGGUCUUUGGCCAUCCGAGUUGUAAUUUAGAGAAGCGUCUUCCGCGCUGGACCGUGCACAAGUCUCCUGGAACGGAGCGUCGUAGAGGGUGAGAAUCCCGUCUUUGGCACGGACACACCAGGGCUUUUGCGAUGCGCUCUCGAAGAGUCGAGUUGUUUGGGAAUGCAGCUCAAAAUGGGUGGUGAACUCCAUCUAAAGCUAAAUAUUGGCGAGAGACCGAUAGCGAACAAGUACCGUGAGGGAAAGAUGAAAAGAACUUUGGAAAGAGAGUUAAACAGUACGUGAAAUUGCUGAAAGGGAAACGCUUGAUGUCAGUCGCGUCGACCGGGGAUCAGUCUCGCUUAAUCGCUGGACGUACUUCCUGGCCGACGGGUCAGCAUCGGUUUCGACCGUCGGAAAAUGGUUCGAGGAAAGUGGCACCCCUCGGGGUGUGUUAUAGACUCGGGUCGAAUACGACGUUUGGGACCGAGGGACUCAGCACGACCUUCGGGUUCGGGGCUUAGGCUCACGUUAACGUGCUUAGGAUGCUGGCAUAAUGGCCUUAAGCGACCCGUCUUGAAACACGG